UUGCCUAUUCCUCCCAUGCCAA
rnacentral:miRNA from 1 species